CUUGAACGCUGGCGGCAUGCCUAACACAUGCAAGUCGAACGAGUGGCGGACGGGUGAGUAAUGUCUGGGAAACUGCCUGAUGGAGGGGGAUAACUACUGGAAACGGUAGCUAAUACCGCAUACCCUCGGAUGUGCCCAGAUGGGAUUAGCUAGUAGGUGGGGUAACGGCUCACCUAGGCGACGAUCCCUAGCUGGUCUGAGAGGAUGACAAGCAACACGGGAAAGGAGACAGGGUCCAGAGUCCUACGUGAGGCAGAAGUGGGGAAUAUUGCACAAGGGGCGCAAGCCUGAUGCAGCCAUGCCGCGUGUAUGAAGAAGGCCGUCGGGUUGUAAAGUACUUUCAGCGGGGAGGCGUUACCCGCAGAAGAAGCACCGGCUAACUCCGUGCCAGCAGCCGCGGUAAUAC
rnacentral:rRNA from 1 species